ACCCACCAACACAAAAAUUGUGCAUGUUCCUGAAUCCUAUCCUGUCAGCUCCCCUCCAUUCAUCAGAGGAAGCAAAAAUGAUGCUGUGGCUAAAUUUGGUAUUCUUACUUGCAUCCCUCGGAGGAGUCCAGUCUCAAGUCCAGAUGGUGGAGUCUGGAGGGGAUGUGAGAAGACCUGGAGGGUCCCUCCGUCUCUCCUGCCAAGCCUCUGGAUUCACCUUCAGCAGCCAUUGGAUGGAUUGGGUGAGACAGGCUCCAGGGAAAGGACUGGAAUGGGUGGCCCGCAUAAGUAAUGGCUCCCCUCCUUCCACUUACUACUCAGACAAAGUGAAGGGACGCUUCACCAUCUCCAGGGACGAUACCAAAAGCCAGCUGUAUCUGCAAAUGAACAGCCUGAAACAAGAGGACACGGCUGUCUAUUACUGUGUGAGAGACACAGUGAGAGGAAGUAAAUCUGAAUCCAGUCAAGAACUUUAUUUAUCUGUGAGCAGCUCUCAAACUAAGAAAAAGCACUCAUACACAGAUAGGCACAUAAUUUGUUAA